rnacentral:rRNA from 1 species
GAUGAACGCUGGCGGCGUGCUUAACACAUGCAAGUCGAACGGAAAGGCCCAAGCUUGCUUGGGUACUCGAGUGGCGAACGGGGGAGUAACACGUGGGUGAUCUGCCCUGCACUUCGGGAUAAGCCUGGGAAACUGGGUCUAAUACCGGAUAGGACGAUGGUUUGGAUGCCAUUGUGGAAAGUUUUUUCGGUGUGGGAUGAGCUCGCGGCCUAUCAGCUUGUUGGUGGGGUAAUGGCCUACCAAGGCGUCGACGGGUAGCCGGCCUGAGAGGGUGUACGGCCACAUUGGGACUGAGAGACGGCCCAGACUCCUACGGGAGGCAGCAGUGGGGAAUAUUGGACAAUGGGCGCAAGCCUGAUGCAGCGACGCCGCGUGGGGGAUGACGGCCUUCGGGUUGUAAACUCCUUUCGCUAGGGACGAAGCGUUUUUGUGACGGUACCUGGAGAAGAAGCACCGGCUAACUACGUG